rnacentral:rRNA from 3 species
UCUCCUGGAAACGGGUGGUAAUGCCGGAUGCUCCAGUUGAUCGCAUGGUCUUCUGGGAAAGCUUUCGCGGUAUGGGAUGGGGUCGCGUCCUAUCAGCUUGACGGCGGGGUAACGGCCCACCGUGGCUUCGACGGGUAGCCGGCCUGAGAGGGCGACCGGCCACAUUGGGACUGAGAUACGGCCCAGACUCCUACGGGAGGCAGCAGUGGGGAAUAUUGCACAAUGGGCGCAAGCCUGAUGCAGCGACGCCGCGUGAGGGAUGGAGGCCUUCGGGUUGUAAACCUCUUUUAUCGGGGAGCAAGCGAGAGUGAGUUUACCCGUUGAAUAAGCACCGGCUAACUACGUGCCAGCAGCCGCGGUAAUACGUAGGGUGCAAGCGUUAUCCGGAAUUAUUGGGCGUAAAGGGCUCGUAGGCGGUUCGUCGCGUCCGGUGUGAAAGUCCAUCGCUUAACGGUGGAUCCGCGCCGGGUACGGGCGGGCUUGAGUGCGGUAGGGGAGACUGGAAUUCCCGGUGUAACGGUGGAAUGUGUAGAUAUCGGAAAGAACACCA